rnacentral:rRNA from 1 species
CCUACGGGAGGCAGCAGGUGGGGAAUCUUGCGCAAUGGGCGAAAGCCUGACGCAGCCAUGCCGCGUGAAUGAUGAAGGUCUUAGGAUUGUAAAAUUCUUUCAGUAGGGACGAUAAUGACGGUACCUACAGAAGAAGCCCCGGCUAACUUCGUGCCAGCAGCCGCGGUAAUACGAAGGGGGCUAGCGUUGCUCGGAAUUACUGGGCGUAAAGGGAGCGUAGGCGGGUUAUCAAGUUGGAGGUGAAAGCCCAGGGCUCAACCUUGGAAUUGCCUUCAAAACUGAUAGCCUAGAGUAUGAUAGAGGUAUGUGGAACUCCGAGUGUAGAGGUGAAAUUCGUAGAUAUUCGGAAGAACACCAGUGGCGAAGGCGACAUACUGGGUCAUGACUGACGCUGAGGCUCGAAAGCGUGGGGAGCAAACAGGAUUAGAUACCCUGGUAGUCCACGCUGUAAACGAUGAUGCUAGUGUCGGACGGCGAUGUCGUCGGUGCGCG